rnacentral:lncRNA from 1 species
AUGGGUGGGGGCUUGGCUCACCCAUCAUCUCAGCUGCUCCUCUGUGGGGACCUCACAGCUGGCUGGAAUCAAACUUGUGUCUCAGUGAAAGGACACAUUACUCCUGGGUCCCAGUGGCAACAGAUGC